rnacentral:rRNA from 1 species
GAUGAACGCUGGCGGCGUGCCUAAUACAUGCAAGUCGAGCGAACAGACGAGGAGCUUGCUCCUCUGACGUUAGCGGCGGACGGGUGAGUAACACGUGGAUAACCUACCUAUAAGACUGGGAUAACUUCGGGAAACCGGAGCUAAUACCGGAUAAUAUAUUGAACCGCAUGGUUUAAUAGUGAAAGACGGUUUUGCUGUCACUUAUAGAUGGUUCCGCGCCGCAUUAGCUAGUUGGUAAGGUAACGGCUUACCAAGGCAACGAUGCGUAGCCGACCUGAGAGGAUGAUCGGCCACACUGGAACUGAGACACGGUCCAGACUCCUACGGGAGGCAGCAGUAGGGAAUCUUCCGCAAUGGGCGAAAGCCUGACGGAGCAACGCCGCGUGAGUGAUGAAGGUCUUCGGAUCGUAAAACUCUGUUAUUAGGGAAGAACAAAUGUGUAAGUAACUAUGCACGUCUUGACGGUACCUAAUCAGAAAGCCACGGCUAACUACGUG